rnacentral:rRNA from 1 species
AGUCUGGUGCCAGCAGCCGCGGUAAUUCCAGCUCCAAUAGCGUAUAUUAAAGUUGUUGCAGUUAAAAAGCUCGUAGUUGGAUUUCGGGGCUCCUUAUGUAAUAGUCAUGCGGUGGAUACUUGCUUGUUGCUUUAGGGGGGUGUUUUUUUGGGGCAGCCCGAGGACACCACCCGGCGGCAGGGGAAAGGCCACUGCGGGCGGGGCCCAUUUAUAUUUCUCGAAGACGUCACGGGCCCUUAACUGGUGUACUGUGGUCGCGGAUUCGAGACUUUUACUUUAAAAAAAUUAGAGUGUUCAAAGCAGGCAAUCAAAAACGCUUGAAUACAUUAGCAUGGAAUAAUGGAAUAGGACUUUGGUCUUAUUUUGUUGGUUUCUAGGACUGAAGUAAUGAUUAAUAGGGACAGUUGGGGGCAUUCGUAUUUAAUUGUCAGAGGUGAAAUUCUUGGAUUUAUGAAAGACGAACUUCUGCGAAAGCAUCUGCCAAGGAUGUUUUCAUUAAUCAAGAACGAAAGUUAGGGGAUCGAAGACGAUUAGAAACCGUCGUAGUCCUAACCAUAAACUAUGCCGACUAGGGAUCAGUGGGGAACAAAUCAAAAAACUCCAUUGGCACCUUAUGAGAAAUCAAAGUUUUUGGGUUCUGGGGAAAGUACCAACGCAAGUUGGAAACUUAAAGGAAUUGACGGAAGGGCACACCAGGCGUGGAAUCUGCGGCUUAAUUUGACCCAACACGGGGAAACUCACCAGGUCCAGACAAAAUAAGGAUUGACGGAUUGAGAGCUCUUUCUUGAUUUUUUGGGCAGUGGUGCAUGGCCGUUCUUAGUUGGUGGAGCGAUCUGUCUGGUUAAUUCCGAUAACGAACGAGACCUUAACCUGCUAAAUAGCGACGUCAUUCCUUGUGAAGGACGGAUUUUGACUUCUUAGAGGGACUAUCGGUGACUAACCGAUGGAAGUUUGAGGCAAUAACAGGUCUGUGAUGCCCUUAGAUGUUCUGGGCCGCACGCGCGUUACACUGACAGAGGCAGCGAGUUUUUUUAAAUAUCCUGGCCUGGAAAGGUUUGGGUAAUCUUGUGAAUCUCUGUCGUGAUGGGGAUAGAUCUUUGUAAUUAUCGAUCUUCAACGAGGAAUGCCUUGUAAUCGCGGUUCAUCAAAUCGCGUUGACUACGUCCCUGCCCUUUGUACACACCGCCCGUCGCUACUACCGAUUGAAUGGUUUAGUGAGGUCUCGGGACUGGCGCGGCUUGGCUGUAAAAGGCCGAUCCAUGCUGGGAACUUGCCCAAACUUGAUCAUUUAGAGGAAGUAAAAGUC